rnacentral:rRNA from 1 species
AUUGAACGCUGGCGGCAGGCCUAACACAUGCAAGUCGAGCGGAUGAAGGGAGCUUGCUCCUGGAUUCAGCGGCGGACGGGUGAGUAAUGCCUAGGAAUCUGCCUGGUAGUGGGGGAUAACGUCCGGAAACGGGCGCUAAUACCGCAUACGUCCUGAGGGAGAAAGUGGGGGAUCUUCGGACCUCACGCUAUCAGAUGAGCCUAGGUCGGAUUAGCUAGUUGGUGGGGUAAAGGCCUACCAAGGCGACGAUCCGUAACUGGUCUGAGAGGAUGAUCAGUCACACUGGAACUGAGACACGGUCCAGACUCCUACGGGAGGCAGCAGUGGGGAAUAUUGGACAAUGGGCGAAAGCCUGAUCCAGCCAUGCCGCGGGUGUGAAGAAGGUCUUCGGAUUGUAAAGCACUUUAAGUUGGGAGGAAGGGCAGUAAGUUAAUACCUUGCUGUUUUGACGUACCAACAGAAUAAGCACCGGCUAACUUCGUG